rnacentral:ncRNA from 1 species
UAAAGGUUUGGUCCUAGCCCUUCUAUUAGCCAUCAGUAGGAUUACACAUGCAAGUAUCAGCACCCCGGUGAAGAUGCCCUCUUAAUCACCAACGAUAAAGAGGAGCGGGUAUCAAGCACACUAUACAGUAGCUAAAGACACCUUGCCGAGCCACACCCCCACGGGAUACAGCAGUGACAAAAAUUAAGCCAUGAACGAAAGUUCGACUAAGCCAUACUAGCCUAUAGGGUUGGUAAAUUUCGUGCCAGCCACCGCGGUCAUACGAUUAACCCAAGUUAAUAGACAUACGGCGUAAAACGUGUUAAGGAAAUUAUCCACACAAUAAAGUUAAAUCUUGGGCUAUGCUGUAGAAAGCUUUAGCCCAGACAAAAAUAAACCACGAAAGUGACUUUAAACGAUCCGACUACACGAUAGCUAAGACACAAACUGGGAUUAGAUACCCCACUAUGCUUAGCCCUAAACCUAAGCAGCUAAAUAACGAUGCUACUCGCCAGAGUACUACUAGCAACAGCUUAAAACUCAAAGGACUUGGCGGUGCUUUAUAUCCCUCUAGAGGAGCCUGUUCUGUAAUCGAUAAACCCCGAUAAACCUCACCAACUCUUGCUAAUACAGCCUAUAUACCGCCAUCUUCAGCAAACCCUAAAAAGGAAUUAAAGUAAGCAAAAUCAUAAAACAUAAAAACGUUAGGUCAAGGUGUAGCCUAUGAGUUGGAAAGAAAUGGGCUACAUUUUCUAGUAUAGAACAUCGACGAAAAUUUUCGUGAAACCGGAAAUAGAAGGAGGAUUUAGUAGUAAAUUAAGAACAGAGAGCUUAGUUGAAUUAGGCCAUGAAGCACGCACACACCGCCCGUCACCCUCCUCAAGUAUAAAGAUACAAUCCCCAAUCCUAUUAAUAAAUGUACACACACAUGAGAGGAGAUAAGUCGUAACAAGGUAAGCGUACUGGAAGGUGCGCUUG